UGGAUGUUUGUCUGAGUGUUUCUGUGAGAGCGGCGCCGCAUUUGUCAGUCUGUGUCUGUCUGUUUUGGUUCCGCCGUGUGUGUAUAUGUGUGUGUCUCGGUACCGGUGAAGUCUCACUCUGGUCAGUACUUAGAGAGUGGACGUGGAGUCUCACUCUGGUCAGUAGUUAGAGAGUGGAAGUGGAAUCUCACUCUGGUCAGUGCUUAGAGAGUGGACGUGGAGUCUCACUCUGGUCAGUGCUUAGAGAGUGGAAGUAGAAUACGUGUUAGUGUCUGUUGUCUGUAUUCUGUUUCUGUGUUUGGUAUCCCAGAAGCAGCUAAGGUUAAGCUGCAGUUUGGGCCAGGUACUGAAGGUACCAGGCAUCUGUGAAAAUUGGUUAUAAGAUGCUUUGUCUUGAUAUUGUUUGUCUGGUUUGUUUUCUGUGAUAUUGUCGAGUGUCUUUUUGGCUUUUGUUUCGUUUUUAAAUUUAGACUGACGACUGUGUUUAAAAUCUUGGACUGACGACUGUGUUUAAAAUCUUGGACUGACGACUGUGUUUGAAAUCAUGAAACUGUUUGCUUUGUUCGUCAAAGAGUUUUACUUGGUCCUCUUGGUGCUUAAGUUAAGAGUUAAAAAUAAUUUGCUUGAGAAAAAUUGUUUUCUGCCAGGGAGUUUUGUCUUUCUCUCUUGAGCCUCCUCCCCAAGGAGAGAGGCCCCUCCCUUUACUCCCCUUGAUCAGCCUAGCUGCUGUUAACAGUUGUGUAAACAGACAUUAACAAAAACCUUGAGGACAAAACCUCUCGUAAAUAAAAAAGUUCCCCAGAUUAGGCCUCCGGUAUGAAACAAGUAUAGUGAGUAAGAAACUUAAUUUUAUGGACCCCGCUCUAGUGGUGGUGUGUUGGUUGAUAGCCAACGUUAAUUUUUUAAAACAUAGUGUUUUAUCUGUGCUUGUGCUCGCAACACACAGUAGGGGGGAGCGAAAUUAGCUGCGGAGCUGCUACAGCGAACAUGGGGACUUCUCAAGUCUCACCCAAUUUUUCUGGCUCUUCAGGAGCUGUUUAAAAGGAAAAGGCUUAAGGUAAAAAGAAACACUAUAGAGAGAUUUCUUAGUGAAUUACUACACCUUGGUUCGCCAUCUCUGGGAAUCUCACAGUGGACAGCUGAGAUAAGCUAGAAAAGGAUUUAAAUUUUGCUUGAGAGCAAGGAAUCUUAAAGACGGAGUUUCAGCCGGUUUGACACUUAGUGCGUAGCUGCCUAAAAGAUCAGAAAUGCUGUCAACAGGCUAUAAAAAAGGGACAGGCUGUGUUAAAAAUGCUACAUAAAGAAUAAUCUAAAAAGGCUGAGAGUGAGGUGGGAGAGGACUCUAAGAAAAACAAGAACAAGAAAGGAAUUUCUGCUUUUAGUGACCAGACCUUCAACUCUUGCUCACAGAAAGAGGGUGCUCAUUAAGAGAAGUUCUUUAAGGAGCCUGCCUUAUCUGCUGGCCCUAUUCCAAGAGAGGAGCCAGUCUCCAGCAUUAAAUUACUUUUCUCACUGGUCAUCAUUAGCAUGGAGAAUGCCUUUGAUCCUAUCCCCACAGCAGCCAGUUCCUGCCCCUGUGGUAGAAAUGUCCCAGGUUGGGGGGCAGAGAAGCCCCUAAAAUAGUUUCAAAGAAUCUACAACAAACUGUAAAGAACUUUGUUUUGUUUUGCCAGUUUGAAUUUAGAAUUCAGGCUUUGGCUGUGGCCGAGGUCAGGAUUAAUGUUUUCGUUUCCAUGGGCCCUUAGCCCACUGAGACAGUUUGGUAAAGGACUACUACUACAGUCCUGAUAUUCAGAGACAUGGAGAGAGCUAUAGUUUUUUUUAUUAAAGGUUGGUACUAUAGUAUUAACAAUCUCUUUAUUAGAUAUAAGAGACAAGAAGCCCCAGGUGAACUGGUUACAAUUCUUUUGUCAGCUGCUUAGUAUCUAACACUCAGGUUCUACCGUCUCUCCAUCCUUUUAUUAUUAGUUGUUACUGAAAGCCUAGUGCCAUUUAGAGGAUGGGUCUCUUGAGUGAUAAAGCCACUGAGCUGGCACUAAAGGAAGGUACUCCUUAAGGGAAAAUCUAAGUCCAGAGAGACAACCGGUAACAGAUAGACUGCCCCUCUGCUCACUUUUCUGUUUCACAGACACAAGGUCUUUUUGUCCCAAGAAAGCCUCCUGGCUUAGCUGUGUGACUAAAUGCUAUUUGCCCUCUUCAGUGGACCUCUAUUCUCAAGAUUCUCUUGUUUUCUCACCAUCCCAUUUGAGAUGCUUGUUAGUAACUGUUACAGGUCUUCUUUACCACCGAGGAAAGACAAAAUCCUACUAGAGGCCAGAAAAAGUGUUCCAGAGAUGGAUGGAAGGCCCUCACUUCUGCCUGCUCUUUUCAGACGCCUAAAGGUAGGGAGUGCCAGGUCUGCCGCCAGGCUCCAAGGGUGGGUCUCUGAGGGGCUAAAAAAUGCCCCACCAAUCUGGCUAAGAUAAAAAAAGGAUAUGAAGAAAAAGUUACAAAAAUUUAAAGGGUUAAGUUAAGUUGCUGAGAGUUAGUACAAGUUACAGAGAAAGAGGUAAAAAGAACAGAAAGCUAAAAAAAAAGAGACAAAAAGAAGAGGAAGUUAGAGAGAUAAAGAGAGAUAAAAGACGAGAGAGGAACAUAUACUGGCCACAGUAGUUAGGGAACCUAGGAAGAUAGUACCUGGCAACAGAAGAGAAUUCCUGACUAAAGAUCAGUGUGCCUAAUACGAAGAAAAAGGAUAUUGGGUCAGGGACUGCCCCAGAAAGAACAAGAGGGGACACUGGAGAGCCUCUUGGUGCUGGCUAUACACAGAGAUAGAAGGGAAGCCCGCCCAGUUGUUUUGUGGAUACAGGGACCCAAUGCUCUGUGCUCCUAUGCCCCCCUGUGGGCCAAUAUCCAAAGACCUUGAGUGCAAGGAGCUACUGACAACGAACAAUACUUAUGGACUGCCCGAAGAACAGUGGACCUUGGCGUGGGCCGGGUAACCCACUAGUUCAUAGUCAUCCCUGACUGCCCCCAUCCCUUGCUCAUGAGAAAAUUGCUCUCCAAAUUGGCUUGCGUGGGCUGAAAUGGCUGGAUGAGGCCAUGUGUAUACAUAUCUAUAGACUGUGUAUGUGGAGCUUAAGACCUGUCUCAGUACACCAGUAACUGAUGCUGGGAGUUGAAUGGCUUAGUGCUUUUCUGCCUGAAACACACCGUUCCUGCCAGCCGGGCACUAACAAUUAUCACCCAAUCCAGGACUUAAACUGUGAUAGAGUGGCUGAUAGAGUGUCCAAAGAUGGGACCACUGGUCAGCUGCCAUGGACUAGAUUCUCCACCGGUUGGGGACAAUCUGGUCACCUUGCUGCCCAAUCCGGACCUGGAGCCACCACAGCACGAGUGUCAAACACUGACAGAAGCACAUGGGUGGAGGAAAGACCUCUGCGACUGGCUGAUUGACCCCUGCUGAAAGCCGAGGACCUUGUCCACAGAUGGGAACAGUUCUCUUCAUGAAUGAAGGUCAGAGACAAGUGGGUGCUGCCAUGGUGGACAACACAAUGUCAUCUAGAAUGGCUGAACCUCUACCCCCCCAGCACAUCAGCGCCACAGAUGCCUUUGCCAUCUCUUGGAUGCCCGGAUGAAGCCAACAACUGUGAGUACUAUUCAUUGCCCAGGAAAACAGGAGGGAAGAGAUUCAGUGACAUGGGGCAGUGACAAAACAGAUAAAGUGGCUCGGGAAAUGGCUAUACAGGAGCCUAUCCUGGUUACAGGCCUGCAAGAGACAGCCACUGAGAACUAGGAUUAGACUAAGGGAUGGCCUCACUUAGAAAAGGCCCAAAUUGCUUAAAAGAUAAAGGACAAUGGCACACUUGAGGGGAAGCUAUACUCCCCAGAGAACAAAGAAAAGACUCACUUUGCCAAAUAAAAAAAUAGACUCAUUUAAGAGAUAAGAAGUUUGUCCAAAUAGUUAAAAUAUAUAUAAUAGACUUUAAGAUUUUAGCCAAGAGAGACAAUAAAAAAGUAUAAAUUACGUCAAUAAAUAAGUGCUUAACAAACAAACAGGACAAAGAGACCUAGAGAGUUUAACGAAAAGUCGAAGUAAACUUCACUGAGAUAAAACCAGAAAAAUAUAAUCUCCUAGUGCUUGUAGAUACUUUUUCAGAAAUAGACAGAAGCUUUCCUCACCAAACGAGAGACGGCCUCUGCAAUCAUCAAGAAGAUACUGAAAGAAAUCUUCCCCAGGUCUGGAAUGCCCAAGGUAAUCUGGUCAGACAACGGUCCUACUUUCGUUGCCAAGGUAAGCCAGGGUGUGGCCAAAUAUUUAGAGGUCGAUUGGAAAUUACAUUAUAUUUACAGACCUCAAAGUUCAAGACAGGUAGAGUAAAUAAACAGAACUCUAAAAGAGACCCUAAACAAAUUGACCAUGGAGACUGGCACAGACUGGGUGACACUCCUUCCCUCUUGCUCUCUUCAGAGCAAGAAAUACCCCUUCCAGAUUCAGCCUUACCCCCUUUGAGAUCUUAUAUGGGGCCUCAGCUCCCCUGACUGUAUUAGAUGAUGUUACUGAACCAACAUGUCAUAGUAAUAAUGAUUUGUGUGCCAGGCUAAAAGACCUACAGGUGAUACAGAAAGAAAUCUGCUCACAGCUGACAGCAGCCUAUGCCCCGGAGACCCCUGAGACAUCCCAUCAGUUCCAGGUCGGAAGCAGCUACACUGAGCCCAGACACUCGAUCCUCGCUGGAAAGGACCAUACCUGGUGCUGCUGACCACCCUGACAGCCGUCAAUUCUCAGCCCUCACCAGCCGUGUACUAGCUGUUAGGGCUGAGAGCUGGGACCUAGAGAGAAAUUCAGUCAUGUUUGUCCUGGGUUCCAUCGAGAUAGGUGUGGGGAUAGGCUUGAUUUCUAUUACAAAUAAUGUAACAUUACAUAUGUUAGUACUCCUAACACUUCUUGGGACUGUGCCUCAGGGAUCACUACCUGUAUAAGUUUAAAAGUUCUAAAAGACAGUAAUGACCUUGGUGUAUAGGUUUAGAUAGUGUCCAGAUAGAAUCCUGAUGCCAAAGACUUUUUAGCUGACCUCCAAGAAUACCUAACCUCCCUCUCAGAGGUAGUCCUUCAAAAUAAGAAAAGAUUAGACCUGAUAUUCCUUAAAGAAGGAGUCUGUGUGCUAUACUGAAAGAAAAAUGUUGCUUCUAUACAGACCAUUCAGGAAUAAUUAAAGACUCCAUAAAUAAACUUAAAAAAAGGUUAGACAAAAGACAGACAGGAAAACACAUCAGAGAUGGUUCGAGAGCUAGUUUAGUAGAUCUCCCUGGAUGACUACCCUACACUCUGCUACAGCUGGGCCAUUAUUAAUAAUUUUCUUGGUUUUAGUUUUUGGCUCCUGCGUGACAAACAGGUUAAUUGCUUUUGUUAAAAAUUGAGUGGGUGCUGUGCGGUUGAUGGUUGUGAGACAACAGUACCAGUCAGUUAGGACAACUGGUGAGACCAAAUAAGACUUGAUAUCAAAAUUCUAAGAUUAGAAUUAUUUAAUAGGAGAAGACGGGAAUGAAAAGAAAAUUAUACGAAUUCUAGGUUUAUAAAUAUAAAAAUUAAAAAAAUAAACCCCAAAAGGCCACAGAUCCAGGGCUAAGCCCUGCAGCCAAGACUAGCAGGCCAUAAAGAUAAAGAAGCACAGGAAACACUGUUCAGGCAGGACUGACAAGCCAUAAAGAAAAGGAAUGCAGGAACCAGCCUGAGUUAAUGGGACUGAUUCAUGGGACGUCUGGCAGGAAGACAUCUCCCCCCAGCUCACUCAGGGCCAUCCUCCAGACCCUGAUAAGCCCCUGACUUCUAACACGUACUCUUUCUGCUUUGUUCUCACUGCUAUGUUUGAAUGAGCCAAUUGUAUGUAACCACGCCAAAACCCCCUAGCCUUCUCUAUAUAACCCUCUGACUUUUGAGUUUCGGGGCCAACACCUCUGUCUCCUGCGUGGGAUACGUGUCGGCCCGGAGAUCUCUGUAAUAGGUCUCCGUAAUAAACCUCGCCUUUGCUUAUUACAUCCAAAAUGGUCUCUCUGUGUCUGGGGUCCGCGAUUUCCCAAGACUUGAGUAAGGGUCUCUCUGCGUGGGAUCUUUCAUAAUAAUGGGGGCUCGUCCGGGAUCUGCGCGACUACCCCAGACUCCGAAGACCCCUUGGAGGCUAAAAGACCUACAGGUGAUACAGAAAGAAAUCUGCUCACAGCUGACAGCAGCCUAUGCCCCGGAGACCCCUGAGACAUCCCAUCAGUUCCAGGUCGGAAGCAGCUACACUGAGCCCAGACACUCGAUCCUCGCUGGAAAGGACCAUACCUGGUGCUGCUGACCACCCUGACAGCCGUCAAUUCUCAGCCCUCACCAGCCGUGUACUAGCUGUUAGGGCUGAGAGCUGGGACCUAGAGAGAAAUUCAGUCAUGUUUGUCCUGGGUUCCAUCGAGAUAGGUGUGGGGAUAGGCUUGAUUUCUAUUACAAAUAAUGUAACAUUACAUAUGUUAGUACUCCUAACACUUCUUGGGACUGUGCCUCAGGGAUCACUACCUGUAUAAGUUUAAAAGUUCUAAAAGACAGUAAUGACCUUGGUGUAUAGGUUUAGAUAGUGUCCAGAUAGAAUCCUGAUGCCAAAGACUUUUUAGCUGACCUCCAAGAAUACCUAACCUCCCUCUCAGAGGUAGUCCUUCAAAAUAAGAAAAGAUUAGACCUGAUAUUCCUUAAAGAAGGAGUCUGUGUGCUAUACUGAAAGAAAAAUGUUGCUUCUAUACAGACCAUUCAGGAAUAAUUAAAGACUCCAUAAAUAAACUUAAAAAAAGGUUAGACAAAAGACAGACAGGAAAACACAUCAGAGAUGGUUCGAGAGCUAGUUUAGUAGAUCUCCCUGGAUGACUACCCUACACUCUGCUACAGCUGGGCCAUUAUUAAUAAUUUUCUUGGUUUUAGUUUUUGGCUCCUGCGUGACAAACAGGUUAAUUGCUUUUGUUAAAAAUUGAGUGGGUGCUGUGCGGUUGAUGGUUGUGAGACAACAGUACCAGUCAGUUAGGACAACUGGUGAGACCAAAUAAGACUUGAUAUCAAAAUUCUAAGAUUAGAAUUAUUUAAUAGGAGAAGACGGGAAUGAAAAGAAAAUUAUACGAAUUCUAGGUUUAUAAAUAUAAAAAUUAAAAAAAUAAACCCCAAAAGGCCACAGAUCCAGGGCUAAGCCCUGCAGCCAAGACUAGCAGGCCAUAAAGAUAAAGAAGCACAGGAAACACUGUUCAGGCAGGACUGACAAGCCAUAAAGAAAAGGAAUGCAGGAACCAGCCUGAGUUAAUGGGACUGAUUCAUGGGACGUCUGGCAGGAAGACAUCUCCCCCCAGCUCACUCAGGGCCAUCCUCCAGACCCUGAUAAGCCCCUGACUUCUAACACGUACUCUUUCUGCUUUGUUCUCACUGCUAUGUUUGAAUGAGCCAAUUGUAUGUAACCACGCCAAAACCCCCUAGCCUUCUCUAUAUAACCCUCUGACUUUUGAGUUUCGGGGCCAACACCUCUGUCUCCUGCGUGGGAUACGUGUCGGCCCGGAGAUCUCUGUAAUAGGUCUCCGUAAUAAACCUCGCCUUUGCUUAUUACAUCCAAAAUGG